CCCGGAAAACCCUGGGAGACAGGGNUCCCCCUUGUGGUCGGUGUACAGGUGGUGCAUGGCUGUCGUCAGCUCGUGUCGUGNAGAUGUUGGGUUAAGUCCCGCAACGAGCGCAACCCUUGUUCUGUGUUGCCAGCAUGCCUUUCGGGGUGAUGGGGACUCACAGGAGACUGCCGGGGUCAACUCGGAGGAAGGUGGGGACGACGUCAAGUCAUCAUGCCCCUUAUGUCUUGGGCUGCACACGUGCUACAAUGGCCGGUACAAUGAGCUGCGAUGCCGUGAGGUGGAGCGAAUCUCAAAAAGCCGGUCUCAGUUCGGAUUGGGGUCUGCAACUCGACCCCAUGAAGUCGGAGUUGCUAGUAAUCGCAGAUCAGCAUUGCUGCGGUGAAUACGUUCCCGGGCCUUGUACACACCGA
rnacentral:rRNA from 1 species